rnacentral:misc_RNA from 1 species
GGAAGUAAAAGUCGUAGCAAGGUUUCCGUAGGUGAACCUGCGGAAGGAUCAUUAUUGAAGCUUCAUCCGGGGCGCCGCGGCCCUCAGCACCGGUGGAAACGCCGUGCUGCGGGGGCCGCGCGUGCACUCGUCCAAACCAAACCCCUGUGAACCUUACGGGAUGGCCCGGGUUAGCGCCCGGUGCCGUUCCGCUUUAUACAAACACUUAUCAAAGAAUGAACUGAAGGCGGUCUGACCGCUGGAUAACAAACUGAAACAACUUUCAACAACGGAUCUCUUGGCUCUC